rnacentral:rRNA from 1 species
UACGUAGGGGGCAAGCGUUGUCCGGAAUCAUUGGGCGUAAAGCGCGCGUAGGCGGCCCGGUAAGUCCGCUGUAAAAGUCCAGGGCUCAACCCUGGAAAGCCGGUGGAUACUGUCGGGCUAGAGUCCGGAAGAGGCGAGUGGAAUUCCUGGUGUAGCGGUGGAAUGCGCAGAUAUCAGGAGGAACACCGAUGGCGAAGGCAGCUCGCUGGGACGGUACUGACGCUGAGGCGCGAAAGCUAGGGUAGCAAACGGG